UGGGGAAUAUUGCACAAUGGGCGCAAGCCUGAUGCAGCCAUGCCGCGUGUAUGAAGAAGGCCUUCGGGUUGUAAAGUACUUUCAGCGGGGAGGAAGGGAGUAAAGUUAAUACCUUUGCUCAUUGACGUAACCCGCAGAAGAAGCACCGGCUAACUCCGUGCCAGCAGCCGCGGUAAUACGGAGGGUGCAAGCGUUAAUCGGAAUUACUGGGCGUAAAGCGCACGCAGGCGGUUUGUUAAGUCAGAUGUGAAGUCCCCGGGCUCAACCUGGGAACUGCAUCUGAUACUGGCAAGCUUGAGUCUCGUAGAGGGGGGUAGAAUUCCAGGUGUAGCGGUGAAAUGCGUAGAGAUCUGGAGGAAUACCGGUGGCGAAGGCGGCCCCCUGGACGAAGACUGACGCUCAGGUGCGAAAGCGUGGGGAGCAAACAGG
rnacentral:rRNA from 1 species